rnacentral:rRNA from 1 species
UACGAGAGGCCCAAACGUUUAUUCGGAAUUACUGGGCUUAAAGAGUCCGUAGGCGGCGCAGAAAGUAGGGUGUGAAAGCCCUCGGCUUAACCGAGGAAUUGCGCUCUAAACUACUGUGCUUGAGGAACCUAGAGGUGAGCGGAACUGAUGGUGGAGCGGUGAAAUGCGUUGAUAUCAUCAGGAACACCGGAGGCGAAGGCGGCUCACUGGGGGUUAUCUGACGCUGAGGGACGAAAGCCAGGGGAGCGAACGGG